ACAGGGAUGGGCUUUAGGAUCACUUCCAACCCAAACCAUUCUGGAUUCACCAGAUUUUUCUCCAGCCUUACUGGGUGGUUGGGACCAGCCCAUUGCCUGUCCCUGCUGGUGAGAUGCCACAACCUCUUCCAAUAAACCACUCAUCUUGUACCCAGAGCUAAGAACUGGCAGCUGGCACCACAAGAGAUUGGCAAGGGUGUCAGGUCUAGGUUGGAUACUAUGGAAAGGUUCUUCCCCCAGAGGGUGCUGGGGCACUGGAACAGCCCCCCAGGGAAUGGGCACAACCCCAGGGCUUCCAGAGCUCCAGGAAUAUUUAAACAACUUUCUCAAGGACAGGGUGUCAUUGUUGGGAUGUCUGUGCAGGGCCAGGAUUUGAACUCAAUGAUCCUUCUGCAUCCCUUCCAACUCAGAAUUUUUUCAUGAUUCUGUGGUUCUACGAUUUCUCUUUCUAUAGCAGACUCCAACACAGCACAGCUCGCCUGAAGUACAAUAAAAGAUAGAUUUUCUUGUAAAAUCAAAUGUUUUAUAGAAGAAUAUUUUAAAAAAACACCAAAAAACACCACCCCCCCACCCCCCAUUCUUUUCCUGCUGUAUCAACAUAACCUGAUAGCAAGCCAUUGCUUUGAUGAGGUCUGCGUGUUUCCUUUCUGGUUUAUGGUAUCGUAUGAUUAUAAAGUUGAAACAAUAAAAGCAAAUCAAAGCCCUUUGAUAGCAUGAAAACAAAACAUUUGGGGUUUGGCUAAAAUGAAUUAUAUUGCUGGAGCUGCACUGAAGUGCUUGGAUUUUUAGGACUGCCUUGUGGUGCAUCUAAAAAAAAAGAAGCUUUACAUUAAGUUUAGGUAAAUUUUAAAACAAACCAUCAUUUCGAGAAGAAAAAAAACUAAUGCUGUGCUUUGAGAAGGCAGAGAUAAAAACUUCCCAAUCUUCCCAUAGAAGAAGAGUAUGUCCAAUUAAAAGUGUUUCAAGCUGGUUGUCAACGAUUUUGGGACAUUAUCUGACUCUUCAGUUUUCAGCAAAUGAGGUUUCUGAUUGGAAGGAGCUCACCCAUCUGUAGGAGAGUGUCCUAUAUAGAGGACUAAUAAUGUUGGCAUGAAUAAUUCAUUGAUCUUUAUUACAUCGAAAGGUAUGUGUGGAGUGUGAUGCACACACAGUCUCAUCAAAGAAAGGCAUAUUCAGUUAAAAAUAAUCAGUUUGACUGUAGAUUUUGAGAGUGUUUGAUGGAUUAACUCCAGCAAAUCAACACCAAACUCGACUUUUGUUUGUCUCUCCCCAAUCUGUAGGGAGAUUAUUAAUAUCAUGUAACAUUCAGUUAAUAGGUCAGAUGUGAGACCUUAUUACAGAUCGGGGAUAAAUUGCCUCUCCGGUAGCACAUCCCUGACCUUCACAGACUUCAGAGUUCAAUAUUCAGCCUUCAUCCAUCCAGCCUUAAUUACUGUGUGCACGAGCAUUAGCACCACCACGAAAGGGCCGAGUUCAUGCAGCCAGGACCCUGCUUUGCAUCAUCUCUCUGCCUGGGAAGGACAGGAAAAAGUCUUUGGCAGGGUUAGACCCAGGUUUAGACUUCAUGUCUAAAUUGUCUUUUAGUUGUUUUACAUGCAAAAAUUUACUCUGGGUUUUGUGGAAUUGAGGGACUAUGAUACUUUCUCUCUCAGGGUUAUUAAUCAUCUGUUAUUAUUUUAUUUAUGUACCUCUUAGUAAGAAAAAGCGGACGAACCAAGGCCAGUCUCACUGAUUGCAGCUUUUAACUUGGGGGAAUGCGAUGGGAGAAGGAUGGGAGCAAUUUUACUGGGGGAAAAAACAUCCUUUGUGCUUGCAAUUUGCAUGGCAGAGGUAAUAAAUGACGCUGCAAGUAAUCUAAGGCUGAGAAAGGUAGCAGGUUAAUUGUCUUAUAAUUAUGAAUUCACUUUGUAUCCGUGGCCUUAGCAGAGAUCAUAAUGAAUUUAUUUAGCAUUCACGGGGCCAUCGUGGCACUUUCCUUCCAUCAGUGUGGGCAACACCUAUGUUGCCCCAGGGUGGCCGUUCAGGGGCUGGUCUGAGCCCAGACUGGAGUGGAUGGAGCAGAGGAGUUAUUAAACCAUGCCACACAUCAGCCAGGCAGAGAGGUCAGCCCCCUAAAUGAGUUUAGCUCCUUCCCUGGGUCUAUCUCAGAUGAGUACCCACAGCUUGAAAAUAAGUUUGUAAUUGACUGAUCCAGACAGAUGAGUUUGGGAAGAGGUGAUUGAUGUCAGCAAUAUAUCUGAACACAAUCAGCCUGGCCCAGAAUACUAAUCUGACAGCCUUCAGCAGCUCAGAGCUGCUGCUCAAACACACUUUGGGUAAGUAGAUCGUGCGUUAGCCAUCGCCUUGGGCUUCUGCUUGCUCCUGCCUUGGAAGCAGUGAGGGAGCAGGAGCUGCCUGUAAUGCUGGCCACGGGUCUAUGUACAAAUCACAAACGGGAUGGGGCUGCUGUGGAACACAUCUCAAGGUGUUUAUUUUCCAGCAUCAGUCUCAUUACAUGGUAUGGGACAUUCCCAUUAGGACAAUGGGAAGAUGCCAGUAGCUCACGUUCUCGGCAGCAGCCACAGAACUCAGUGUUACAACUUACUCUAAAAGCUUUUUGACCAAUCACACAAAGCAAAAGCAUAUUGACACUAGUUCUAUCCAGCCACUAAAAGCAUUCGUACCUUUGGUUAAAACAAUGCUCACUUAUUUCAAAUACAAUACUUGCUUGCAAGCCUUAAGAUAAAAUGCACAGAGCUCCAUUAUUAAGCUUAGAACUUCCUAAUAUCUCACUAGAUAUACUUUUCUGUAGGUUAGGGAGUUAUUCUAGACAAGCAUUAAUACACAGACCAUUGUUCUAUUUGUCCUUACUUUCUACAUCUUACAUAACUUUUCUGCUGACAAACCUUACGGUUACUGCUUAGCUCUAAUUGCAGUUCUGCUGUUUCUGAGGCCUGCUUUUUGCAACUUUCCCAAAACCCUGAGAUUUUAAGGAUUCCCUCAGCCUGAUUUGCAGUGUUUUAUUUGUGUUGAGCCGUGGGUUCACUCUUCAGGUCUCAAUGCCACCAAGUAUUUCAGCACACACUUACAUUUCAGCUCACGAGUAGUUGGGCUGAUCUUGGCGUUAUCUGCCUCAAAAUGUCAGGAACAGGUGAGGACUGUGCUAAAUCAGGCCAGAGGCAGGACUGGGAAGUUAAGCUCAUGCUGGAAGGCUGGAAGCAGUGGGGCCUGCAUGCUCAAGAGGUUCACACAGACUUGUGCAGUAGAGCAGCUUUCCACACCCUUUGUCCUGGGCAGCCUUUUGCUGAGCCUUGUGCUAAAUGGCAGAGAGACAAAUUCCAGGGUUACCCCAAGGUCCUUUUCAAGCCUCUGGUCCCCAGGGCUUCAGGGGCUGCCACCCUCACCAGGUCACCAGGCUUGGGAAAAGAAAGCUCUGGGAAAUCAAGGUGGGGCAACAAAAGCAAAGCUUUCUGCUCCCUGGCUGGAAAGGGGCAAAUGGCAAUGGUAGGGUGGGUAAGUAGGAAAAUCCACAUUUCCCCACUUUUGGUGCAGAGACAUCUCAGACAAAAUCAUGGUUUAGUUGCUUUGUUGCAAAACCGAAAUUAGGUGCUGGAGAUUCUUCACCUUGAGGAGCAGCACAAGGAGCCUUUUCCCUGGGUAUUUUCUGGCUCAUUAGAUUGAUGGUGCACUCUGGGUGAGUGACAAAGUUUGAAGGCUCUGUAAGAUCCUUGGCAUUCCUUGCUUUACCAGCUGAUGACCUCGGAGCCUGGGAUGCAUGUGGGGAAGGUCAGGGCUCCAGCCUGGCUCCCUUGAUAAAGCAGCCACCAUGAGGAGGUGUGGAGAUGCCACAGACAAUGUGACAUUUCCCUCGACUUUUUGUUGUUUGGAAACCCCUUGUUUCCCUGUGCUGUCCUGCCCAAGACCUGCUGGAGCAGCAGGCAGCAGGGAGGACCAGGCAGGGAUCACUGUGGAGGACACAGGAACGGGGGGAUGGAGCUUCCUCUCCUCCCCAGCCUGUUGCACCUCUCCUGUCCCUUGCCAAGAGCCUGGCUGGCGUUCCCCAGCCAUGAGCAGUGUCCCUCUGAGCUGUGUCUGUCUGUCCCCACCCUCAAACACCUCACAGCCUGCAGGCCUUGCUGAGCAGCAGCAGCAGAAUGGUGGCUGCCAGUGGGCAGGAGCUGCUCUGUUCCUUCACCAGCUCCUCCAUCGCCAACCUUUGCCUGACACGGGGCCUUGAAUUGGUGUGUGGGGUGGUGUCUGUGCCACUGCUGCCCCAUUUCUCCUCCCUCUGGGUGUAGUGCCUCCAGCCAGGGCUGGGAUGGCCCUGGGACAACAGGCACAAGCUGUCAGGCAUUGCUAGAGGGUCCCAGAUUUGCACCUCUCCAACAGGGACGGAGCACAUCACCGAGCUGCCUUUCCAGGGAACAAUUAUCCAUCCAGCUGCCAGUGGUAUUUUCCUUCCCCUACCCUCUUGCUCCUCCCCAGCUCAGCAGGGACCCCAGGACGGGUCCCUCCUGCCCCUCCUGCCCUCUCCCAGCUCUCUCCUGCUCUGCACUGUUUGCCAUCACUGCAAGCCUGUCCCCACCUAAAGGGGCUGCUGUUCCUUUCAUCUCUGCAUCUCUUUGACUCUUCAUUCUUUUGCCUUGUCUUCCUCGCUGGCAGGAUAUGAAAAAGCCACAGAAAUCGAAUUCCAUUUAAAGGCAUCCACCAAGAGAGGAUUUUUUUUUUUAAUCCUCCUUCCCCUUCUCUCCUCCUUAAAAUGAAGUUUUGUGCACUGCUCAUUAGAUGAUAAGUGAAUACAGAAAAACCUUUGAGCGAAGGUAAUUCCAGGCGUGUGGAAGAGGGCUCUGGUGCUGGCUCCACAUUUAUGAAUGCAAACGAGUCCGGGCAUCCUGUGGGGAUGCUUUGUCAGUCCUUUUAUCUCUAAAACCAAAGUUCAAACUGACUUCCUGAGUCAAGAACCAUAAAAUUAUUCUGUUGAAAGAACUCUCAAAUGCCAUCGGUGGAGGGGGGAGACCUUCAUUUCCCAGCCUCUGAACUGGUCUGUGCAUGUGCAGGGGAAAUGAAAGAGCCCUUCAUUAUCGGGGUGCUGUUCAGCCCCGUGCUGCUCUCCUGUAAUUGAUGGAAUAUAUUAUGCUCCAACAGGGAAGGUCCAAAUGGAAAUCCCUAAUAAUAAUAAUAAUAAUAACUCAAUGUGUUUCAGUCGCCCAUCCAAUCCCCAGAUCUCAAAGUGCUUUUGAGACAAUUAACCGAGGACCACAGAAAUCCUCAUCAAGCCAGGAUGUGACAAUCACUUUUGCCUUUGUCACAAAUCAAAGGAGCUGUAAUUUGAGGGGUGUCCCUCCAGUCGGGGCUUCAUCUGAGCACCAUCAGCACCCCAAACCCAUGGAGUGUGGGAACAUGGAUAACCCUUAAUAAAUCAUUCUGUUGGUGCAAAUAGGUUGAAAUUGAAGUGAGAGGAUGCUUUAGGUGCCAACACAACCAUGGACAUGGGCUAAAGCUGCCCAGGAGCCUGGCCAUGGUGGUCUGGGGUAUUUUGAGGAAGGUUUCCAGGAUGUGCCAUUAAAGAGCUGCAGGUCUGUAGGACUGGGGCAUUUGCAGGUGACUUUGGAGCAAUUAAUCUCUGGAGCACCAUUCUUGUGCACAGAGAGGAAUUUUUUGUGUUGCAAGCACCCCAAAAUCAGUCAGAUCUGCUGCAUCAGAGGUAAAUUUGUACAGGCUGCAAAUUUCAGUUGGGAUGGUGUGAAAACACAAGCACAAACAUGCCAGAAGCCAGACAGAUAAAACAGAGGAGCACAGGGCAGGGAAAUGACAGCAGAGGAGGAGAAAUACAACUGGUGUGACUGCCAGCACAUCUGUCCCAGUUACCUCCCACCAAGGAGACACUACAAGGCCCCAGUGCCAGUGCCAUCCCUGUCACAAGCCACUCAGCCAAAUACUGUCAGCAUUCCAGAGGUCUGGAUUUCACUGUGGCACCAAUUAACAGUACAGUUUACAGGAAGUUUGCUGUAUUUUUUUUUUUUUGGUGGAUUUUAAAUUGCACUUUUUUUUUUUUUUUUUUUAGUAGCUUUUCCUGCAGAGAUAAACUGCUGCAGUGGGUUGGGGACCAGAACAGCUUCUGAUACCUCUUUAGCUGAGCAUCAGUGGCAAAGACAUCUUUGCCCACCCAGCUGUGAUCUAAAUCCCACUGGUGCCAGCACAAUUCUCAAGCAGCUCCUGCACACAGUUCACCUGGAGCAGAUGGAAACCCUCCAGGGGCUGAAAGGAGAGCUCAGGCUCUGUUCCCUUUCAGCUUUUUUCAGGGAUAUUUUACUGCCAAGCAGCAUGCAGCCAGGGAAGGAUCUUGGGCUAUCCAAGACAAUGCUGAGCUCCGUGUUGCUUUCACAGCCUGUGGGGAGCAAUACUGGAGGAUGUUCCUGUUCCUGUCCAACCCUCCCUCCAGCUGGUUCCUUCCACUACCUCCCAGCACUGCCUAAAGGUGCAGGACCCUAUUUAAUUAAGUAACAAGAAUCGAAUGUGAUAGCUACAAGCAUCAGCUAAUUAAAAGGAGGGGAAUUGCAAAAGAGAAGUGCCAUGAAUUCACUGAAAAUCAAUCAAAUUAGAGUGUCUCAUCAUCCCCUCAAAUGGGCCUGAUCUUCUCCCUCUGUCUUGCUGCUUAACCCUUUGUACCAGCAUAUUUUGGUUGGUGUUAGGGGAAGGUGCUGCAGUCACACUGUGGGACAAGGCAGCAUCUGGGGCUCCAAAGGCACGUGGCCACCCCAGUGCUUUGAUCCACUCUGGAGCACGGCUGGAUCUGUGAAUCCUUCCCCCUCUGCAGGUACUGCCUGACUCCUGGCAGGGUCCUUCUUCCUUUAAAUCCUCACCAAGGAGCACGACAGCAGCACCACCAGAAAAGGAGGAAGAAAAAAAUCUCAUUUAAUCAAAGAGAAUAUUAAAGCUGAGCUUUUUGUACAGCAACGGGCCUCAGAUGGAGAAAUCCCCUCCAUCGGCAGAGGGAAGAGCGAGGGAGAGGGAAAGACAUAAAAAAGCAUCAGAGUUUUAAUUAAAAAGCUGCAUCCUGCUUUCGUUUGCAGCUUGUUUCCAGAUCCCUUCAUUAGGCUUUACCCUUUAAAUGCUCGUUAUCAAAGCUGUACAAAUUCCACUGACUUGGGAUGUGCAUUUGUGGAAGAGCCCUUUUUGUCUGUGGGUUGGAUUGCAGAUGGGGUAUGGAGGGGCCAGCAGCAGAGGGAAGGAGCAGAAAUUGUUGUCUCAGGGAGAAGCAUCCCGGCUCCAGGGAUUUUCUUCCAUUGCUCUCACGGCCAGGCUGGCUAAUGGCCAGCUCCAGCCAGGCCACCUCCGUGGGGCUGCUCCUGACCUUGCACGAGGCAGAAAGGAGAAGCCAGGUGUGUUGGAAAGAGUUAAUUUGGCUGUUGGAGGCUCAGGAGGGCCUGUUAGGGCCUGCAGCCCCCACCACACCUUGUCUGACCCAGCAGGAGCAUUUCCAGAGGAACUUCAGGUCUGCAGAGAUUUUGCUGAGCAUCUUGCCAUGAAUAUCGCUAUCCGUGCUCCUGGAACUGAAGGGAGCUCCCUGCCUGAUCCCCACAAGCUGCAUCAGAGUGGGGUUUGGCCACUGCCACGGCCCCCAAACCCUCUUGUCCUAAGUGCCACAGGACCUUUCACAGCCAGUGGUCUGUGCCUUAUUUUCAAUUAGAGCACUAAUGACCCCUUCCAAAUUGGGCUGCUGAAGAACAUCGUCCUGACCCCUCAGAUGCACUUUAGGAUCUAGAAUUAAAAGAGAGCCUAUAAUGCGGGUAAAGAAUCCCUUCUAAAAUCCCUCAUUUUGUGUAUAUCCCCCUUGUUGGUGCUUUUUCAGGCCUCUGGCCGUGGUGC